UAUCUCUGUAGAGUCUGCAUAUCAAUAAGCGGAGGAAAAGAAACUAACAAGGAUUCCCUUAGUAACGGCGAGUGAAGCGGGAAGAGCUCAAAUUUGAAAUCUUCAAGGUUCUACCUUGAGCGAAUUGUAGUUUAAAGAAGUGUUUUCUGUUGAAGUUUCGGUAAAAGUUCUUUGGAAUAGGACAUCAUAGAGGGUGAGAAUCCCGUAUUUGACCGUUAUUUUCAGCUGUGUGAUACACUUUCAAAGAGUCGGAUUGUUUGGGAAUGCAGUCCAAAAUGGGUGGUAAAUUUCAUCUAAAGCUAAAUAUUGGCGAGAGACCGAUAGCGAACAAGUACCGUGAGGGAAAGAUGAAAAGAACUUUGAAAAGAGAGUUAAACAGUACGUGAAAUUGUCAAAAGGGAAGCGUUUGACACCAGUGUUGUUUUUCUGAAAAUCAAUUAAAGAACUGUUUAUGCUAAGCUGUUUAGACUUUAUCAGCUAUCUGUUUAGUUUUGAGCUUUUCUUUAAUGCACUUUUCGGUUAACAAGUCAACAUCAAUUUCUUUUGCUGUAAAAAAGCUUGAGGAAGGUGGCUUGAGAUUCGUCUUAAGUGUUUAUAGCCUUUGACUUCUGCAAUCGGAGAGACUGAGGUCUGCAGCGUAGAUCCUUCUGGAUUAGAUUCAUUUGUGCUAAGUUACAACCGUUUAUAGACAACUUGUUGACUAUAUUCGAUCCUGUAGCUUACUCGCUUAUGUAAUUUUACCUACGCUUAGGAUGUUGAUAUGCAUGACUGAUAU
rnacentral:rRNA from 1 species